UAAUUAAAUCUCGCGAGACACGAACACAUGUGCCGAGAUAUUGGGGUUUCUUUCGCCUCGAUUUGGAGAUCGCAUUCGCACCAAAGUGGAUUUCAGAAUCUCAGCGUUAAGGCCUUCAAUUUUAUAAUAUUAAUUAUUGUUAAUAAAUAAAGCAAAUUUCUUAGAGAGAGAAAGCAAAGAUUUGAUUUUGAGAGAGAGAGAGA
rnacentral:misc_RNA from 1 species